rnacentral:rRNA from 1 species
UGUGAUUUUCUAAGUAGCGGCGAGCGAAAGGGAAAGAGGCCAAACCGGAUAACGAAAGUUAUGCGGGGUUGAGGACUGCGAGAGAAAGGACAGGAAGCUAACAGAAUGGCAUUGGGAAAGCCAGCCAGAGAGGGUGAAAGCCCCGUAAGUGAAAGCGGAAAGUUCAGAGCAGGAUCCAGAGUACCGCGAGACACGGGAAACCUAGCGGGAAGCCGGGGGGACCACCCCCCAAGCCUAAAUACUACCUGGUGACCGAUAGCGAGAGUACAGUGAUGGAAAGGUGAAAAGGACCCCGGGAGGGGAGUGAAAGAGAACCAGAAACCCUAUGUUUACAAGCAGUUGAAGAGUGAUACUGAGAGGUAUAGACUCGACAGCGUACUUUUUGUAGAACGGUCCGGCGAGUUAUUGUCACAUGCAAGGUUAAGGUAUGAAGUACCGGAGCCGAAGGGAAACCGAGUCUGAAGAGGGCAAAGAGUAUGUGAGAAUAGACCCGAAACCGGGUGACCUAUCCAUGUCCAGGAUGAAGCGUGAGUAAAAUCGCGUGGAGGUCCGAACCCACAUCCGUUGAAAAGGGUGGGGAUGAGGUGUGGAUAGCGGAGAAAUUCCAAUCGAACCCGGAGAUAGCUGGUUCUCCCCGAAAUAGCUUUAGGGCUAGCCUUAAGGAGAGUCUAACGGAGGUAGAGCACUGAAUUGCCGAUGGGGCGUAAAGCUUACUGAAGCAUAUCAAACUCCGAAUGCCGAAGAGACAGACUUAGGAGUCAGACGAUCGGAGAUAAGUUCGAUGGUCAAAAGGGAAAAAGCCCAGACCAACAGCUAAGGCCCCCAAGUGCAUGUUAAGUGGAAAAGGAUGUGAGACUUCGAAGACAACUAGGAUGUUGGCUUAGAAGCAGCCAAACAUUAAAAGAGUGCGUAAUAGCUCACUAGUCGAGAGGACUUGCGCCGAAAAUACACGGGGCUAAAACAUGGCGCCGAAGCUUUGGAUGCCAGAGGAAUCUGGUGAGGUAGGGGAGCAUUGUGCAAGGAAGAAGCGGAAAGGGAACUGACCGUGGACGAAGCAGAAGAGAGAAUGCCGGAAUGAGUAGCGAGAUAGAAGUGAGAAUCUUCUAGGCCGAAAAUCUAAGGUUUCCAGAGUAAAGCUGAUCUGCUCUGGGGAAGUCGGGACCUAAGGCGAGGUCGAAAGACGUAGUCGAUGGAGAACAGGUGGAGAAUCCUGUACCGAAGGUAAACAGAACUGUGGGGACACAGGAGGAUAGGGAGAGCCGGGAAUGGGAAGACCGGUGCAAGCGAGAAGCCGUGGCGAGGAGGAAAAGCCCCUCGUCUGAGGUGAGACGUGAGGCGGACCGAAAAGAAGUAGGGAAGCUCCUGAAUUCAGACUGUCAAGAAAAGCCGCUAUAGAUUUACCGUAGCCCGUACCGGAAACCGACACAGGUAGAUGAGGAGAGAAUCCAAAGGCCGACGGGAGAAGCGUUGUUAAGGAACUAGGCAAAAUGACCCCGUAACUUAGGGAGAAGGGGUGCCAUGUGAGAGCAUGGUCGCAGAGAAGAGGCCCAAGCGACUGUUUAGCAAAAACCCAGGUUUCUGCGAACCCGAAAGGGGAAGUAUAGGAGCUGACGCCUGCCCGGUGCUGGAAGGUUAAGGGGAGGGCUCAGGAGAAAUCCGAAGGUUCGAACUUAAGCCCCAGUAAACGGCGGCCGUAACUAUAACGGUCCUAAGGUAGCGAAAUUCCUUGUCGGGUAAGUUCCGACCCGCACGAAAGGCGUAACGAUUUGGGCACUGUCUCGACAACGCGCCCGGUGAAAUUGAAGUACCAGUGAAGAUGCUGGUUACCCGCGACAGGACGGAAAGACCCCAUGGAGCUUUACUCUAGCUUGAUACUGGGAUUCGGUAUGACAUGUACAGGAUAGGAGGGAGGCAGAGAAGUGUGGACGAGAGUCUGCAUGGAGCCGAUGUUGGGAUACCUCCCUUGUGAUACUGAAUUUCUAACCGAAGUCCGUGAACCGGAUGAGGGACCAUGUCAGGUGGGGAGUUUGACUGGGGCGGUCGCCUCCGAAAAGGUAUCGGAGGCGCUCAAAGGUUGCCUCAGAAUGGUUGGAAACCAUUCGAAGAGUGUAAAGGCAGAAGGCAGCUUGACUGUGACAGCGACGGUUGGAGCAGGUACGAAAGUAGGACUUAGUGAUCCGGUGGUAGAAAGUGGGAUUGCCAUCGCUCAACGGAUAAAAGCUACCCUGGGGAUAACAGGCUGAUCUCCCCCAAGAGUUCACAUCGACGGGGAGGUUUGGCACCUCGAUGUCGGCUCAUCGCAUCCUGGGGCUGAAGGAGGUCCCAAGGGUUGGGCUGUUCGCCCAUUAAAGCGGUACGCGAGCUGGGUUCAGAACGUCGUGAGACAGUUCGGUCCCUAUCCGUCGUGGGCGUAGGAUAUUUGAGAGGAGCUGUUCUUAGUACGAGAGGACCGGAAUGGACAGACCGCUGGUGGAUCUGUUGCCGACCAAAGGCAGAGCAGAGUAGCCAAGUCUGGAAAGGAUAAACGCUGAAGGCAUCUAAGCGUGAAGCCAACCUCAAGACGAGAUAUCCGAUUCGAAAGAAGGAAGACCCCUUGAAGACGACGAGGAGAUAGGCCGGAGGUGGAAGUUCCGAGAGGGAUGGAGCUGACCGGUACUAAUAGGUCGAGGAGCUUGAUCAG